rnacentral:misc_RNA from 1 species
AACCAUUCUCACCUGCGGCUAGACCUGCGGAAGGAUCAUUAUCGAGUAUGACCCUCUAUUAGAGGGUGCCUCCCGUCCUUGCAGACCCCUAGGGGCUUUUGACUUUGCUUCGGCGGCACCCCCGCCGGAACAACCCCAAGAAAAUCUCGAUAAAACUGUUCAGUCCGAGGGCUUGCGAAUAAUAAUGAAAACUUUCAACAACGGAUCU